GAUGAACGCUGGCGGCGUGCCUAAUACAUGCAAGUCGAGCGAAAGGACCAGAAGCUUGCUUUUCUUAUUUUAGCGGCAGACGGGUGCGUAACACGAGGAUAUCCUAAAUAUACGAAUGGGAUAACUUCAGGAAACCGGAGCUAAUACCAAAUAAUAUUUUGAUCCGACUGGUUCAAAAGAGAAAGACGGUCUUUCUGUCACUUAUAGAUGGAUCCGCGCUGCAUUAGCUAGUUGGUAAGGUAACGGCUUACCAAGGCAACGAUCCAUAGCCGAUCUGAGAGGGUGGUCAGCCACACUGGAACUGAGACACGGUCCAGACUCCUACGGGAGGCAGCAGUAGGGAAUCUUCCGCAAUGGGCGGAAGCCUGACGGAGCAACGCCGCGUGAGUGAUGAAGGUCCUCGGAUCGUAAAACUCUGUUAUUAGGGAAGAACAUAUGUGUAAGUAACUGUUCACAUCUUGACGGUACCUAAUCAGAAAGCCACGGCUAACUACGUG
rnacentral:rRNA from 1 species